UCUUCCAUGCAGUGAGCACCCCAUCUUCUUGACUCUCCUGGGCCAGUCCUAUGCUCAGCUUAGAAGCUGAAGCCUGCAAUGGCAGCUCUAACCGAGUUCCAGCUCCCGGGUUUUAAUUCAGGUCUUCUUGGUUAUAAGUUUUUCAAUGUUGCGUGCUUAAAAACAUUCUGCAAAACUUUGAAGUAGCGUCUCUCAUACAAGAGAACAUACAACAAUACUAAGAACUUGUCAGACGACCCUGCGUGCUUUCAAAGGUAUGGGGAAUGACUUUCUUUUACAGGUAAAAUGUCUCCUCCAUGUGGUUUGAGAUCUUAAGGAAGCUCUUAAAUAUUGCCACGAUGAUGUGAAAUGAGACGACCUUCCCAGUACCUGUCCUCCGCUGUUUUCUGCCUAAAUGAUGUUCACCCUGGUGGCAGGCUCCAAAUCAAGACUCUCCAGCUACUUCUGCUGCUUUGUGCAUUAUACCGUUUCGCGUUCCCUCACCAGCUGGAAGCAGCACGGAAAUGCACGAGGAGCAGAGGAAGGAUGUGGUCCAUCCGGGACAGGCUGAGCUCUUAUGCUGAAGAUCGCCACCCAGUGGGGACACGGGAAAUUCCAGCCCAGGGUGCCCAGCUGUGACCCAAUGAGGAAAAGCCUGUGGAUGGUGACAGAAAGCUGACUAACAUAAGAGUCACUGAAGACUUUCAUCUUUUCUCUAAUAAAAUGGAGUCAGACAUUGUGCUGGCUGGUUUU
rnacentral:lncRNA from 1 species